rfam:Aedes albopictus isolate Foshan contig85655, whole genome shotgun sequence.
UGUCCAGCAAUUCCUAUCCCUACCUCCACGCGGUACCGGCCGGAAACUAUGAGCAACCUUAGGGAAGAUCGGGUAACCAACCCCGGUGGGAACUUUGGUCGUAGGCUGACAGGGAAGG